UUAAUUGAAGAGUUUGAUCAUGGCUCAGAUUGAACGCUGGCGGCAGGCCUAACACAUGCAAGUCGGGCGGUAACAGGGAGAAGCUUGCUUCUCUGCUGACGAGCGGCGGACGGGUGAGUAAUGUAUGGGGAUCUGCCUGAUGGCGGGGGAUAACUACUGGAAACGGUAGCUAAUACCGCAUAAUGUCUUCGGACCAAAGCGGGGGACCUCCGGG
rnacentral:rRNA from 1 species